rnacentral:rRNA from 1 species
CCCGCUCAGAUACUUAAAGGAAUUGACGGGGCCCGCACAAGCGGUGGAGCAUGUGGUUUAAUUCGAUGAUACGCGAGGAACCUUACCCGGGCUUGAAAUGCAUCUGACCGGCCUUGAAAGAGGCACUCCCUUCGGGGCAGAUGUGUAGGUGCUGCAUGGUUGUCGUCAGCUCGUGCCGUGAGGUGUCGGCUUAAGUGCCAUAACGAGCGCAACCCUCAUCAUUAGUUACCAUCAGGUAAGGCUGGGGACUCUAAUGAGACUGCCAUCGUAAGAUGUGAGGAAGGUGGGGAUGACGUCAAAUCAGCACGGCCCUUACGUCCGGGGCGACACACGUGUUACAAUGGGUGGUACAAAGGGCAGCUACCUGGCGACAGGAUGCUAAUCUCGAAAACCGCUCUCAGUUCGGAUCGGAGUCUGCAACUCGACUCCGUGAAGCUGGAUUCGCUAGUAAUCGCGCAUCAGCCACGGCGCGGUGAAUACGUUCCCGGGCCUU